rnacentral:tRNA from 3 species
GGGGCUGUAGCUCAGCUGGGAGAGCGCCUGCAUGGCAUGCAGGAGGUCGUCGGUUCGAUCCCGAUCAGCUCCACCA